CUACGGGUGGCUGCAGUGGGGAAUAUUGCACAAUGGGGGAAACCCUGAUGCAGCAACGCCGCGUGGAGGAUGACACAUUUCGGUGCGUAAACUCCUUUUAUAGGUCAAGAUAAUGACGGUAGCCUAUGAAUAAGCGCCGGCUAACUCCGUGCCAGCAGCCGCGGUAAUACGGAGGGCGCAAGCGUUACUCGGAAUCACUGGGCGUAAAGAGCAUGUAGGCGGAUUGUUAAGUUGGAAGUGAAAUCCUAUGGCUUAACCAUAGAACUGCUUCCAAAACUGAUAAUCUAGAGUAUGGGAGAGGUAGAUGGAAUUUCUGGUGUAGGGGUAAAAUCCGUAGAGAUCAGAAGGAAUACCGAUUGCGAAGGCGAUCUACUGGAACAUUACUGACGCUCAGAUGCGAAAGCGUGGGGAGCAAACAGGAUUAGAUACCCCCGUAGUC
rnacentral:rRNA from 1 species